rnacentral:lncRNA from 1 species
CUGACAUAAGAAUAACUACCCUCGCUCCUUUAUGUUCCAUUUGUAUGAUAGAUCUUCAUCCAACCUUUACCUUGAGUCUAUGGAUGUCAUUACAUGUGACAUGGACCUCUUAAAAAUUGGAGAUGGAUGGGUCUUUUUAUUUUUUAAUGUAACUUGCCACCCUAUGCCUUUUAAAUGAGGCAUUUAGACUGUUUACAUUCAGGGUUAAUAUUGAUACUUGAAGUUUUGAUCCUAUCAUGAAGUUUUUUGUUGGAUGUUUUGCAGUCUGUAUUGUGCAGUUGCUUUAAAUGGUCUGUGGGCUGUGUACUUAGGUGUGGUUUCCUGGUAACAGGUAUUGUUUUUCAUCUCCGUAUUCAUAACUCUUCUAAGGAUCUCUUGUGAGGCUGGUUUAGUGGGACCAUUGCUAGAGAGCUACUGUGAGCCUCUGGUGAUGUCACAAUAUUCAGACAGAAUUCUCACACUGGUUCCUUCUCAUCUGGAGAUGGCUGUAGUGGGCAGGCUGUUUUGGCUCUGCUUCUACAGACCUAUGCAGCAGGUUUUGUAUUGGGUUCAACCUACAGGCCAAUAGAUGACAUUUGCAGGUGAAGAGCUGGAUAGUGGGGUUCCUGGUGUUCCGUGGAAGAGGCCGGACACAAUUGGGCAGAGCUGGAGCCUCUGGCUUGCCCAUGUGUAUCCCAAUGGCAAGCACAGGCACCAGCCCUGAAAAGGGUGGCUGGGAGAUGCUCUUAGGGACAUGCCCCAGAGAUCUCUGUGUGGGGCAGAGUGAGGAGGCUUCACUGGCUCCCGCAUGGUAGACAGACAUGAACAGAAUCUAUUUCCCUAUCACACCCAUUGCAGGUACUUCAGAUGCACACUGUAGUCUAUCUCCAGACCACAGUGUGGUUGAUUGAAAGCCUCAGGAAACCUUGUUUUCCAGAAGAAAAUAAACUUGAUGUUUUCUUUGGGCCUAUCAUUAUCAUCACUAUGAUUAUCAUGUACAGUUUGCUUGAAUUUACCACAAAAUUCAAUGCUUGCUUAAUAUUAAAAAAUGAGACGGUUGUUCUCCAAGAUUGUGUACAUUAUUAUUUAACCAUCU